UACAGAGGUCUCAAGCGUUGUUCGGAUUCAUUGGGCGUAAAGGGUGCGUAGGCGGCGCGGUAAGUCGGGUGUGAAAACCUGCAGCUUAACUGUGGGCCUGCGGCCGAUACGGGCAGACUUGAGUUCGGUAGGGGAGACUGGAAUUCCUGGUGUAGCGGUGAAAUGCGCAGAUAUCUGGAGGAACACCGGUGGCGAAGGCGGCAUCCUGGACCAAUAUUGACGCUGAGGAGCGAAAGCCAGGGGAGCAAACGGG
rnacentral:rRNA from 1 species